AAAUCCUCUACCAAGGUUAAAAUCACCAGGUCAUUUAAAAAAAUGUAAUCUUGAGUACUUUCUAAAUGACAUAAUUGUAACGUAAUCCCAAAUCUAGACUGUGCAGUUGAAUUCUUUCAGUCCGAACUCCUACAGGUUUGGAAUUUGCAUGCCCCGUUGCAUAAGGUGAGAGUAAAAAGGGGCACAUAUGACUUGGAUCAUAGCUGAACUUAUUCAAAUGUACCAGUUUCAGGACUCAUUGUGGUCAAAGUUCAAGCGUACUGGCUCUAUGAGC